rnacentral:rRNA from 1 species
AACGAACGCUGGCGGCGUGGAUAAGACAUGCAAGUCGAGCGCUCAUUCCAGGGUAGCAAUAUUCUGGAGUGGGAGCGGCGCAAGGGUGCGUAACACGUGGGUAAUUUGCCAGGAAGUUUGGGAUAACUCGCUGAAAGGCGAGCUAAUACCAGAUGUGAUAAUCGGGAGGCAUCUCUUGAUUAUUAAAGUUGGGGACCGCAAGGCCUGACGUUUCCUGAUAAGCCCGCGGCCUAUCAGCUAGUUGGUGAGGUAACGGCUCACCAAGGCUAAGACGGGUAGCUGGUCUGAGAGGACGACCAGCCACACUGGAACUGAGACACGGUCCAGACACCUACGGGUGGCAGCAGUCGAGAAUCUUUCUCAAUGGGGGAAACCCUGAAGGAGCGACGCCGCGUGGGGGAUGAAUGGCUUCGGCCCGUAAACCCCUGUCAUUUGCGAUCAAACCUUACGUUUUAAUAAAGCGUAAGCUGAUAGUAGCGGAAGAGGAAGGGACGGCUAACUCUGUGC